UGGGGAAUCUUGGACAAUGGGGGCAACCCUGAUCCAGCGAUGCCGCGUGGGUGAUGAAGGCCUUCGGGUUGUAAAGCCCUUUCGGCGGGGACGAUAGUGACGGUACCCGCAGAAGAAGCCUCGGCUAACUCCGUGCCAGCCGCCGCGGUAAGACGGAGGAGGCUAGCGUUGUUCGGAAUUACUGGGCGUAAAGCGCGCGCAGGCGGCUUAGCAAGUCAGGGGUGAAAGCCCGGGGCUCAACCUCGGAACUGCCUUUGAGACUGCUAGGCUCGAGACCGAGAGAGGAGAGUGGAACUCCCAGUGUAGAGGUGAAAUUCGUAGAUAUUGGGAAGAACACCAGUGGCGAAGGCGGCUCUCUGGCUCGGUACUGACGCUGAGGCGCGAAAGCGUGGGGAGCAAA
rnacentral:rRNA from 1 species